rnacentral:rRNA from 1 species
UACGUAGGGUGCAAGCGUUGUCCGGAAUUAUUGGGCGUAAAGAGCUCGUAGGCGGUCUGUCGCGUCGGCUGUGAAAACUCGGGGCUCAACCCCGAGCCUGCAGUCGAUACGGGCAGACUAGAGUGCUGUAGGGGAGACUGGAAUUCCUGGUGUAGCGGUGAAAUGCGCAGAUAUCAGGAGGAACACCAAUGGCGAAGGCAGCUCGCUGGGACGUGACUGACGCUGAGACGCGAAAGCGUGGGGAGCGGACAGG